rnacentral:rRNA from 1 species
GACAGAGGGGGCAAGCGUUGCUCGGAAUUACUGGGCGUAAAGGGCGCGUAGGCGGGAUGGCAAGUCGGUCGUGAAAUCCUUCGGCUCAACCGGAGAACGUCGAUCGAUACUGCUGUUCUUGAGGGUUGCAGAGGAGACUGGAAUUCCUGGUGUAGCGGUGAAAUGCGCAGAUAUCAGGAAGAACACCCGUGGCGAAGGCGGCUCUCUGGGACGGUACUGACGCUGAGACGCGAAAGCGUGGGGAGCGAACAGG